AUACGUAGGUGGCAAGCGUUAUCCGGAAUUACUGGGCGUAAAGCGCACGCAGGCGGCCAGUCAAGUCUGACGUGAAAGCUCCUGGCUUAACUGGGAGAGGUCGUUGGAAACUGAUUGGCUUGAGGCAAUGAGAGGGACACGGAAUUCCCGGUGUAGUGGUGGAAUGCGUAGAUAUCGGGAGGAACACCAGUGGCGAAAGCGGUGUCCUGGCAUUGACCUGACGCUCAUGUGCGAAAGCGUGGGGAGCGAACGGGAUUAGAAACCCGAGUAGUCC
rnacentral:rRNA from 1 species